GGUUUGAUCCUGGCUCAGAUUGAAUGCUGGCGGGAUGCUUUUACACACGCAAGUCGAACGGCAGCACGGACUUCGGUCUGGUGGCGAGUGGCGAACGGGUGAGUAAUGUAUUUGAACGUGCCUAGUAGCGGGGAUAAUUCACGCGGCAAAGCGGUGGAAUAAUCGCGAAGCAAUACCCUUCGGGGAAAGCGGGGACCUUCGGGCCUCGCACUAUUAGAGCGGCCGAUAUCGGAUUAGCUAGUUAGUGGGUAACGGCUCACCAAGGUGACGAUCCGCAGCUGGUUUGAGAGGACGACCAGCCACACUGGGACCGAGACACGGCCCAGACUCCUACGGGAGGCAGCAGGGGGAAUUUUGGACAAUGGGGCAAAACCCUGAUCCAGCCAUCCCGCGCGGGUGUGCGAUGAAGGCUUUCGGUUGUGGAAGCACUUUUGGCAGGAAAGAAACGGCACGGGAUAAUACCCCGUGCAACUGACGGUACCUGCAGAAUAAGCACCGACUAACUACGUGCCAGCAGCCGCGGUAAUACGUAGGGUGCGCGUUAAUCGGAAUUACUGGGCGUAAAGCGUGCGCAGGCGGUUCGGAAGAAAGAUGAAAUCAUAGAGCGACCCUUGGAACUGCAUUUUUAACUACUACUAGAGCGGGCCAGAGGGAGGUGGAAUUCCGCGUGUAGCAGUGAAAUGCGUAGAUAUGCGGAGGAACACAAGCAAGGCAGCCUCCUGGGAUAACACUGACGUCGCCAUGCACGAAAGCGGGAGCAAACAGGAUUAGAUACCCUGGUAGUCCACGCCCUAAACGAUGUCAACUCGUUGGGGCCUUUCGGGCCUUGGUAGCGCAGCUAACGCGGUGAAGUUGACCGCCUGGGGAGCACGGUCGCAAGAUUAAAACUCAAAGAAUUGACGGGGACCCGCACAAGCGUGGAUGAUGUGGAUUAAUUCGAUGCAACGCGAAAAACCUUACCUACCCUUGACAUAAACUGGAAUCCCGAAGAGAUUUGGGAGUGCUCGCAAGAGAACCGGAACACAGGUGCUGCAUGGCUGUCGUCACUGUGUCGCGGAGAGAUGUUGUUAAGUCCCGCAACGAGCGCAACCCUUGUCAUUAGUUGCUACGAAAGGGCACUCUAAUGAGACUGCCGGUGACAAACCGGAGGAAGGUGGGGAUGACGUCAAGUCCUCAUGGCCCUUAUGGGUAGGGGCUUCACACGUCAUACAAUGGUCGGGACAGAGGGUCGCCAACCCGCGAGGGAGCCAUCCCAGAAACCCGAUCGUCCGGAUCGCAGUCUGCAACUCGACUGCGUGAAGUCGGGAAUCGCCAGUAAUCGCGGAUCAGCAUGUCGCGCAAUACGCGUUCCCGGGUCUGGCAGACACCCGCCCGUCACACCAUGGGAGUGGGUUUUACCAGAAGUAGCGGCCUAACCGUAAGGAGUGGUGAUUACCACGGUAGGAUUCAUGACUGGGGGUGAAGUCGUAACAAGGUAGCCC
rnacentral:rRNA from 1 species